rnacentral:rRNA from 1 species
UGCCAGCCGCCGCGGUAACACGUACUGUGCGAACGUUAUUCGGAAUCACUGGGCUUAAAGGGUUCGCAGGCGGCCUAUUAAGUCAGUGGUGAAAUCUCUCGGCUCAACCGAGAAACUGCCAUUGAUACUGAUAGGCUUGAAUAUAGUUGGAGUAGGCGGAAUGUGUAGUGUAGCGGUGAAAUGCUUAGAUAUUACACAGAACACCGAUAGCGAAGGCAGCUUACUAAACUAUUAUUGACGCUCAUGAACGAAAGCGUGGGGAGCGAACAGGAUUAGAUA